CUUUUUCGGUAACUCCAUAUUGCUUCUUGUAACAGUUGAUCGAGUUCGUGACAUAUCCUCUGCUCAUGUCAUCCUAAUGAAUGUCACACAUAUAUCUUUCAUAGCCAUCAAAACACCAGCUAUAGUAAAAUCCACAGCCACUUCGACUCCAGCGACUUCUAGAUACUCCUCAAAACUAGGGACGUGAUACGCUUCUGCCCAUGUAGCGAGCUGAAGAUUGGCUCUCGCGUAUCUCUUGCACUGCAAUUCUCACAAUGUGAACAUUGUAAUAUUAAGUUCUUCAAAAAAUCAUUUGAAAAUGGUUAUUCGUAAACACAUGCAUUUCGUAAACACAUGCAUUAUACUAACAGAGAAAAUUAAUUUACUGUAUGAUUACCGCAUCAAUUGUAGCUUCGAAGCUGUAAGAUCCUCCUAAUUCUGAUGCCACUUCUCUUUCAAACUCUUGGAAAGUAUCGAAUACAUGUUUAAGCACAAAUUUCAAAUAAUCAGGUUGGCCAUCCAUGGCAUCAUCGAGAUCCCACCUAAAUGCAUUAACAAUUUCUUUUCUUUUUAGCUGUGGACCAGAUUCAGAACUCAUUACAAAAAUAAUAAUUUAACAUCAUUUUUAUUUUAAAAAAUGCUAAUUUCCUUUUUGUAACGACAUUAAAACUGAAAUUUAAGGUUUCUUGUUAUUGCUAAAAAAUUUAUCAUCAAUUUUAAAACGACUCAUAAAUCGAAAUUUAACGUCACUUAUUUCUUAUUAUAGUGCCAUGGAGCUAUAUAACUAAUAUUUUUUCAUCCUGUUUACUAAGUACUAGGAUCUAUUUGGCACAGUUUUAUUUUAUUUUGAUCGAAAACUUAAAACUUGUAUGAAGAAGUGUUUAGAAUUCUAUCAAAUAUGGAGUUCAUUUUAAAAUAAACUAGAAUAGAAUCCACGCCAUGCGCGGCUAAAUUUUAUUUUAAACAUUUAUUUUGUUCUAUAGAUUGUUCAUCUUUCUUAGGUCUGGGCAUCUGCGUCUUCGGGUCGGAUUCGAAUCGAGUCUUAUCGGGUCUGGGUCCUAGAAACUUAGACCUAUAUAGGAAUCUAUAAUAUAUCGGGUCGGUUUCGGAUCGGGUUUUGAUGGAUCCGGAUUAGUUUGGGUCUAUAAUUUCAAUACCCGUAAAAUAUCCGUAAUUUUCGAGUAUAUUUUGGAUCCGGAUCGGUUCGAGUAUUUAGGACCUGAAAAGGAUCCGAAAUACCCGAACUGGAUCCGAAAACUCUAAAAAUAUCCGAAAACAGCAAAAUACCCGACUAUACCAAAAAAUUUAUCCAAAAUCAUACCCAAAACAUACCCGAAUUUUACCCGAAUAUCCGAAUUAUAUUUUCUAAAAAUCUAAAAUUUUACUCGAAACCUACAAUUAUACACGAAAACCCGAACUAGAAACUUAAAAAAAAAAUCCGAAAUACCAAAAAUAUACCCAAUCACCCAAAUAUACCUAAUAUAUACAAUUAUUUGCGGAUACUUCGGGUACCAAAACCGAAAACCGCGGGUCCAAAAAACAAGACC